rfam:Zea mays cultivar B73 chromosome 6, whole genome shotgun sequence.
CCUCUCCGUGAUGAUGAAGUCAUCGCGUAUCUUCUGGCUGGUCUCGGAUCGGACUACGAUUCAUUCGUCACAUCCAUGAUGACCAAGACCGAGGCUCCCUCCCUCGACGAUGUCUACUCCCACCUUCUGGCAUUCGAGG